rnacentral:lncRNA from 1 species
UACUGUAUUUUGGACAGAACUUCAUUUGAACUUUACACAACAAAACAUCAAAUAUUGACAGCCAAACAAAGAAAUUUUGUAUAGCAUAACACUCAACACUUUGACAUAAAAGAUGAGAAAAUGUUGACAGCCAAACAUUGACUAGUGAAAACCACAUAAUACAAAUUCCAUAGUUCAUCACAAAUUCACAACAACGUCAUUGAAAGUGCAUGGUUCAUCACAACAUCAUUGAAGGUCCAUAGUUCAUCACAACAAACACAUAACUCGAAGCUCAUCACAACAAAAGAAAUGGCACGAGACGAUCACAUUGACCUGAACAAUCCACGUGACAAGAUCAUGUAGACAUCCAUCUUCAAAACAGCAAGAGCAACACCCACAUGACGAAUGUCUACAUGUAACACAGAUUUGUAAACAUAUUGGGAUCAUGUAAAGAUAUGAAAACUGAAACGUGUCGAAAGAACAGUUACCAAUUGUUGUUAUCCCCCACAUCAACAAUCUUGGGCAACUUGAUAUUCUCAACAUCGUCCUCCUCAUCUUCAUCCCUCUCCUAAUUAUUUGGAAGUCAGCCACAUACAAGAAAUAGACAGAAACCAUAGAAGAAAAAGAUAGGAAUCAUACCACCACAUUGAAGUCCUCGUGAGAACCUUUGGUAUAACUAGCACUGCACACCAAUAAUUACGUUGUGCCUUCAACGCCAUCAAACCUUCUUUCGAUGGCACCUUUACCUUAUGAAAGAAGGUCCAAACCAUCGACCUCGACCUCGAAGAAGCUUGACCUUUUCGCUUCUUGGCACUCUUCCGUUGCACUUUUCUUGCUUCAUCCUCACUUGGAUAGCAAAAACAGCACACACAUGAGCUUGCACAAACAUAUAUUUUUUGGAUACCAAAAAGAGCACACACAUGAGCUUACACAAACAUAUAUUUGACAUUUGGAUACCAAAAACAGCACAUAUGACUUUCAAACUAAUUAGACAUGGAGUCCAUGUAAUUUUCCAGCAAGUAGAUUAUUUUUCAAGCUGCUAUGCUACAGCAACUAGAUCAUCAACUAGGUCAUCAACAGCAG